AAAUAAGAAACAAAAUUUGUGUUUAGUUUCGACCUAAAAUUUUGAUGUUUAAUCAUCCUUAUUUU
rnacentral:tRNA from 1 species